UACGGAGGGUGCGAGCGUUGUCCGGAAUCAUUGGGCGUAAAGGGCGCGUAGGUGGCGCGGCAAGCGUGCGGUGAAAAGCUCGGGGGCUCAACCCCCGAGUCGGCCGUGCGAACUGGGCUCACUGGAGCAUAGUAGAGGCAGGUGGAAUUCCGGGGUGUAGCGGUGGAAUGCGUAGAGAUCCGGAAGAACACCGGUGGCGAAGGCGGCCUGCUGGGCAGUAGCUGACGCUGAGGAGCAAAAGCGUGGGGGAGCGAACAGG
rnacentral:rRNA from 1 species